UGGGGAAUAUUGGACAAUGGGCGAAAGCCUGAUCCAGCCAUGCCGCGUGUGUGAAGAAGGUCUUCGGAUUGUAAAGCACUUUAAGUUGGGAGGAAGGGCAGUAAGCGAAUACCUUGCUGUUUUGACGUUACCGACAGAAUAAGCACCGGCUAACUCUGUGCCAGCAGCCGCGGUAAUACAGAGGGUGCAAGCGUUAAUCGGAAUUACUGGGCGUAAAGCGCGCGUAGGUGGUUCGUUAAGUUGAAUGUGAAAGCCCCGGGCUCAACCUGGUAACUGCAUCCAAAACUGGCGAGCUAGAGUAGGGCAGAGGGUGGUGGAAUUUCCUGUGUAGCGGAGAAAUGCGUAGAUAUAGGAAGGAACACCAGUGGCGAAGGCGACCACCUGGGCUCAUACUGACACUGAGGUGCGAAAGCGUGGGGAGCAAACAGG
rnacentral:rRNA from 1 species